rnacentral:tRNA from 1 species
GCUUGGAUAGCUCAGUUGGUUAGAGCCUGGUGCUGAUAAUGCCAGGGUUGCAGGUUUGAUUCCCAGCUGCAUAUU